rnacentral:tRNA from 1 species
GGAGAGUUCGCCUAGCGGUUUAUGGCGCAGGCCUGGAAAGUCUGUUGGGUCGAAAGGCCCUCGGGAGUUCGAAUCUCCCACUCUCCG